AGUGAACGCUGGCGGUAGGCCUAACACAUGCAAGUCGAACGGCAGCACAGUAAGAGCUUGCUCUUACGGGUGGCGAGUGGCGGACGGGUGAGGAAUACAUCGGAAUCUACUUUUUCGUGGGUGAUAACGUAGGGAAACUUACGCUAAUACCGCAUACGACCUACGGGUGAAAGCAGGGGAUCUUCGGACCUUGCGCGAUUGAAUGAGCCGAUGUCGGAUUAGCUAGUUUGCGGGGUAAAGGCCCACCAAGGCGACGAUCCGUAGCUGGUCUGAGAGGAUGAUCAGCCACACUGGAACUGAGACACGGUCAAGACUCCUACGGGAGGAAGCAGUGGGGUAUAUUGGACAAGGGGCGCAAGCCUGAUCCAGCCAUACCGCGUGGGUGAAGAAGGCCUUCGGGUUGUAAAGCCCUUUUGUUGGGAAAGAAAAGCAGCAGGUUAAUACCCCGCUGUUCUGACGGUACCCAAAGAAUAAGCACCGGCUAACUUCGU
rnacentral:rRNA from 1 species